CCCCGAAGUGGCAGACCGAGGAAGAAGACACGACAACCAGGUAUACAAAAUAAGUGUUCUUUAUUUACAGGGGAAGGCGCCGAGGGAGAGGUGAGGUCCUGGUUUCGAUGGAGAUGAAUAGGUGCACCGUGGAGUGCUGGACGAGGCCCGU